AGAUUUUGAUCCUGGCUCAGAACGAACGCUGGCAGCGUGGAUUAGGCAUGCAAGUCGAACGGGAUCCGGACGGUGAAUAGCAAUAGGAUCUGUCCGGUGAGAGUGGCGGAAGGGCGAGGACAAUAUGGGCAAUCUGCCCUGUCGCUGGGGAUAACGCCCCGAAAGGGGUGCUAAAACCGAAUGUGGCGGGUGAGGGCAUCCUCACUUGGCCAAAGGGGGGGACCGCGAGGCCUCCUGCGACGGGAUGGGCCCGUAGACCAUCAGCUUGUUGGUGUGGUAACGGCGCACCAAGGCGACGACGGUUAGCUGGUCUGAGAGGACGGCCAGCCGCACUGGGACUGAGAUACUGCCCAGACUCCUACGGGAGGCUGCAGUCGAGGAUCAUUCGCAAUGGGGGGAACCCUGACGAUGCGACGCUGCGUGAAGGAUGAAGGCCUUCGGGUCGUAAACUUCUGUCAUGAGGGAAAAGGCAAUCGCCGCGAACAGCGGCGUGCGUUGAUGGUACCUCAAGAGGAAGCCACGGCUAACUCUGUGCCAGCAGCCGCGGUAAGAUUCGGCUU
rnacentral:rRNA from 1 species